ACACAGAAGUCAAGUUUUGCUCUCAGCUUCAUGGUUUUGAUCAUUUUUUCCCCAGUUAAUGUCCACAUGGCUUAGAAUGUUAUAUUCAAUUUUGACACUCUGAAGGAAUCAAGCUUUCUUGUUUUUAAGUAAAAUUUCUUUCAACUCAUGACCACAGAAUAUGAGGAUAAUACUCUCUUGGGGUGAGUGAUGGCUAUUUUCGGUUGUCAACUUGACGCUGUCUGGCAUGAACUACAAUCCAGAAAUGGAGGGCACACCUCUGAUCCAGAUCUUGAGUCGGGGAGAAAACACACCUUUGAUCUGGAUCUUGAGGCGGGAAGACACCAAGUUUGUGAUCUAAAUCUUGAGGUGAGAUGACGCACACCUUUAAUCCAGCCAGAUCUUCAGGCACGGCUUUAAUGUGGGCCAAAUCUUCUGCAGGAGGCCUACAUAAGGGCAAUGAAGAAGGAAGGGUUUGCUUUUCUUUGCCUGCUUGCAUUCCCUUUGCCAGCAUAUCCAUUGGGGACCACUUCUUCAGGAUCCCAGCUUAUCCUGAAGACCAGCCGAGACAAUCAGCCUUGUGGGGCUGAGCAACUACCAGAUGCUUGGACUUUCCAUUCUCAGCGGCCCAUUGGUAUAUAUGGAUUCAUUCCAUAAAUUCUGUGACUCUAGAGAACCCUGACUAAUACAGAAGAAUGUCCUAGAGCAAUUGCUUCAUGCUUAGUACUCACAACAGAAGGCUGCAGGUCGGAAGCCAACUUACACACACACACACACACACACACACACACACACACACACAACACACACACGCCGCCCCCUCUCCCCCCGGGUGUGCAGGAUGAAUGUUCUCGAGAAUCAGUUCUUAUAGCACAGAUAGCAGAAGAAGCUGGCAAUCUCUCGAACCAGAGGAAGAAUCAUGCCCAGAGUUGUGAACAACUGUUCCUGUAGCCUAGACACAGAGUACCGUAGAGAACGAGUUUGAGUGCCACAGCUCUGCAGUACCUUGUUUGGGCCCCCGGGCGGGACAAAGCUUUUGCUUAAUCCUUAGGUGAGGUGACAGACUGGUAGCCAUGAUUGAUCAAAAGUUGGCUGCUUGACUAGUGGAAACCUAGCUAACUAAAUUGGGUUUUGGUUACAAACACAUGAAGUUGUGUUGAAGUUGACUAGCCAGGACUGAAAAUACAGAUGCAUUCCCAGGCUAAUGUUAAUCUCACACUGUUGAGAAAGACGCAUCUCCUAUUCGGGCUUCGCUAUUUGCAUCUGAGGCUGUAGUAGGACACAUUAUCUUUGGAGUUACUGAUAUUUCUGAGUCCAUUUUUGGAUCCUGAUCUAGUGGAGAAUGGCAUCCGUGUCCUUGUCUGAACUCUGCUUGCUCAAUCAGUUGUCACUGCCAUUACAUUCUGGGCCCUGAUGGGUAAUAGGUAAUUCUGGAUUCCUCCCUGCCUUUUAUGGUUAGGAGAAACUGAGAGCACUCUUGUAAGCUUUGUGAAAUGCAAUGCCAGCAUGCACUAGCAGUCUGACUGGUACAUUAAAGAAAGACAUGGUGUCCAUCCCAGGAACCUUUGGGAAUCAUUGGAUACUUGCAAAAAGAGUCACCAUGUCAGGGUAGAAGGAAUAGAGACAGUGACGAUAGGAGACUUAUUACUACAAACUUGGAAUACCUAUUUACAAUGCAUCUCCAAUGAUUCCAGAAGGUUCCGAUGACGAGGUCAGAUCCCCAGGAGUUAGAGUUACAGAUGUCCAUCUGUAACAGCCAUAGAGCUGUCCAUCCCGUGUUCAGGGAACUGAACUUGUGUCUUCCAGAAGAGCAGCGAGUGCUCUUCACUGCUGAGCUAUGUCCCCUAUUCCCUUCAUCUGCUCUAUUUAAACUGGUGAUCUCAGCACUUUGAAUGACACCUAUCAGGUAGCUGUUGAGUUACAAGGGGACGGCUAUCGGUGUGAAAAAGGUGACUUUCUCUCUAUGGUGACAUCAUGACAGCCGCUGAGAUGCCCCCUACACCACCUCUCCCCACACCCCCAUCACUGUCACCCACAUACUGGAACCUGAGGUUAGGAAAUGAUUUUUCCUCUUUGCCUGGCAUCCCACCCCAGUUCUCUCUCCUGGAGCAUUGCCCCCUGAAUUCCUUUCUCCCACCAGAUGGCACUAUGUCUUCAGUAUUCAGAGCUACAGGUUUAUUGAAAUGAGGCUUCUUUGUUCUCCCUGCUACUCGAACCUUAACGAAUGGGUUUAAAGACCUAUUCCAGGCUAACAUCAUGAAUACCUUUUUUUUUUUUUUUAAAUGGCAGGCAGCCUAGCUAUAUGAAAGUUCGUGAAAUAUUUAUAAAAGCCAACUAAAAAGGCAAUAAAGACAUUGAUUUCUACAGCCAAAGCUGAGAUUUUGAUGUCACUGACAAUCAAUGUUAAGAUGUUACCACUGGGCCACACAUACACAUACACAUACCCAUACCCAUACACAUACAUGUACCCAUACACGUAUACACACACACACACACACACACACACAUACACACACACACAUACAUACAUACACAUAUACACAUACACAUAUGUAUAACAUACUAUAUCGUUUACAUGGUCUCAUCUAUCAGGAAAACUUACAGAAUUCAGGUUUGAUGAAGAGCUUUGGGUGUUGCGCUCUGGGGUCUUCUGGCCACUGGUACCUCUGAGGUAGCCUGAAGUUCAUGGAAGGAAAAGUCUGAUUAUUUCCCUCCCAUAAGGACAGGGUCAUUAGGUGUGGGCUUGAGGGUUUAGCUCCGGGUUUGUGCAGGCAAAGGGAACAGAGAAGUCACACACACACAAUCAUCCCCUCAGCUGACAUGGAACUAUAAGCAGCCUGGGCAACACACUUUCUAAGUCUACUUACUAUUCUUCCAAAGUAGCUGCGAAGGCUCCUAGUUUCACAACAUACCCCACAACCAGCAGCCUGGGAAGCUCUGAGGAGGUUUAUAUAUAUCUAACCUAGAGGCGUCUUGUUCAGUCAUAAAACAAUGUCUUGUCUGUAAUUUUACUAUUAUUCCCAGGAAAUCAGACCCUUAGAUGGACAGGCUGAAUGCUUCACAGAUCUGAUGGCUUCCCUCCGUGCAUUCUCUCUUCUUAUGAGUACAUUAAAUAAUAUUAAUAUAUUUUUAGUAAGUGACUUUCUUGGAGAAAUACUUCAGAGUUUGUUUUUUUUUUUCCUACUAAUAAGACUUCCAGAUAAACACAUUACAAACCAACCUAUGAAUCAAAUUCUUGAUGGUAGCUAUUUCCUCUUAACUUUGUUUAAAUUUAUCUCAUACGGUACCCUUUGCAGCACUGCUAAAUUCUUAUAUUAUCUUAAAGAGGAGAAACAUCAGUAAAUUAAAAACACAUUUUUUUUGUGAGUGGAUUAAUAUGAACUGUCAUCCAUGUGAAAAGCAGUGCAUAGCUAUUGUGUAAAAACAAACAUUUCCAAUUUCUCCCUCUCAGAGUAAUGCUAAUGGCGUCAUGCUGGUGGGCAGCGCUCUCUCUCUCUCUCUCUCUCUCUCUCUGAGAUAAUUGUCUAACUCACACAUAACCCCUGAUUCUUCUAUGUGAUCACUUGGUAUUAGACUCCUAUUAGGGACAAUUAACAGGCACAGACUUAAGGGAAGUGAAAACAGAUAUAAAGAAAGCACAUGGCAGAGACGGAGUACGGGGUAGAGAUAAGAACUUGUGAUCGCUGAGAGCAACAGGAGUCACAGACAGCACCCUCGUGUCUCGGCUUUGACCAUGGGCCCUUCACUGAUUACCAGAGAGGAAGGUUCAACUCCCAACCGUUUUCCUGACCAGCUGCCUACUAUUUUGAGAAAAGCAUGCUUAUUUAGAUCCCAGAACACACUGGUGGAAUAUGUCUUCUAAGGAAAAUCCUAGAAUUAUGAAUAACAUGUUAAAUGAAUGAACACGUGGAUCUAUUUGCUCUUUUGGGUGUUCGUGUAAACCAGAGAUGGAAGAUAAGAUCCUAUGAACUUUGAGCCUUGAAAAGACAAAACUAAUCGAUUGUCCAGCUGUGCUUUGAGUGCCUCCAAGACUGUAGCACACAGACAGCUCUUAUCCAGAACACAUUAAUCCAACUCAGUCCCCAGAGCUCAGACUUGGUGUCUCUGUCUGCAUUUGCCUAAUCUAAAUAUCUGAGUUGUUUCAUGCUUUGAGCCUGUGUUAUAUAUAUCCAGACACCGAUAUACAUACAUAUUUAUCUAUGUUUACCUUCAAUGUUUAUACCUGGUACAGUUCUUUGUAUAAACAUGCAACUGUCUGUAUACAUACGAAAAUACAAAAUAUUAAUUAUUGGUAUGCUCUUUAAUGAUGUUAUAAUGAUCUUGAUUUAAUAUUUCAUAUUUACUGUUUUUCAGUAACACAUUUUAUUUGGAGUCAGAAAAAUGAUAUUACUAUAAAAUCCUAA
rnacentral:lncRNA from 1 species